GGACUACAGGGGUAUCUAAUCCCGUUCGCUCCCCUGGCUUUCGCACCUCAGCGUCAGAGACGCGCCAGGACACUGCCUUCGCCUUCGGUGUUCCUCCGGAUCUCUACGCAUUUCACCACUCCACCCGGAAUUCCGUGUCCCUCUCGCGCUCUCAAGUCAAGCCGUAUUCGCGUCUCCUCGGAGAGUUAAGCCCUCCGCUGUCACACCAAACGCGCCUGACCGCCUGCAUGCCCUUUACGCCCAGUAACUCCGGACAACGCUCGCCCCCUACGUAUUACCGCGGCUGCUGGCAC
rnacentral:rRNA from 1 species